GACAGCAAAGUCCAAGUUCUUGCUGAGAUCAGUCAUGAGACAUAGGAAUUCUCAUCAGCGGUAAGAAAGUUCCAGGAUUAUUCUAUUCCUGAUCCUGAACUGGAGUGACUCUCCCUGCCCUGGGGGAGAAGGAGCGUCUUUGGUUGCAGAAGUUCAAAUAGAAACCUGCUGGCUGCUGAAGUGAUUAUUACUUUGAACUGAAACUAAGGCUACCUCCAGAAACCUCCCCAAGAAACCUGAUCCCAGAGAACCAUCAUAUAUUAUAGAAAAAGAAGAGAACACCCCAUUUUGGCGUCCAACGUGGGGCUGAUCUCAGAUCCUGAUUGCAGUGGAAAAGUCUUCUCAACCCAGAAAUUAGGGUUUCAUGAUGCACAAGAAAAAUCAGAUCAAAAAGGAAAAAUGAAAAAGAAAACAAAAUGCAAGGAAACAACAACAAAAAGGGUGAAAAUGCUAUGUUGUGAUCCACAUUCAGUUCUCAUAGUCCUCUCUCUGGGUGCAGAUGGCUUUCUUCAUCACAAGACUACUGGAAAUGGUCUGAAUCAAAAUGAUAGACUUUAGUGGGGAGACAUAUAUCAUCUCUCCAUAUUAGAAAAAAAACUACCCCUACUUAGUCCCUUAUCAUUGUUCAUUCAUGUUUAUUUUAGAUAUUUCUCUUCAUUCCUAUGUUUGAAUUUCAAAGUUUCUAUACAGUUCUGGGUUUUUUGUACAUUAAUACUUGAAAGACUGAUUUCAUUAAACACUCAUU